rnacentral:rRNA from 1 species
UACGUAGGGUGCGAGCGUUGUCCGGAAUCACUGGGCGUAAAGCGCGUGUAGGCGGCCCACUAAGUCUGAUGUGAAAGCCCGAGGCUCACCCUCGGAAGUGCAUUGGAAACUGGUGGACUCGAGUCCCGGAGAGGAGAGUGGAAUUCCUGGUGUAGCGGUGAAAUGCGCAGAUAUCAGGAAGAACACCCGUGGCUAAGGCGGCUCUCUAGUACGGUACUGGACGCUGAGACGCGAAAGCCGUGGGGAGCGAACAGG